UGGGUAACCUGCCCAAGAGACUGGGAUAACACCUGGAAACAGAUGCUAAUACCGGAUAACAACACUAGACGCAUGUCUAGAGUUUAAAAGAUGGUUCUGCUAUCACUCUUGGAUGGACCUGCGGUGCAUUAGUUAGUUGGUAAGGUAACGGCUUACCAAGGCAAUGAUGCAUAGCCGAGUUGAGAGACUGAUCGGCCACAUUGGGACUGAGACACGGCCCAAACUCCUACGGAAGGCAGCAG
rnacentral:rRNA from 1 species